rnacentral:rRNA from 1 species
CAUAUCAAUAAGCGGAGGAAAAGAAACCAACAGGGAUUGCCCUAGUAACGGCGAGUGAAGCGGCAACAGCUCAAAUUUGAAAUCUGGCCCCCCGGCCCGAGUUGUAAUUUGUAGAGGAUGCUUCUGGGUAGCGACCGGUCUAAGUUCCUUGGAACAGGACGUCAUAGAGGGUGAGAAUCCCGUAUGCGACCGGCCCGCGCCCUCCACGUAGCUCCUUCGACGAGUCGAGUUGUUUGGGAAUGCAGCUCUAAAUGGGAGGUAAAUUUCUUCUAAAGCUAAAUACCGGCCAGAGACCGAUAGCGCACAAGUAGAGUGAUCGAAAGAUGAAAAGCACUUUGGAAAGAGAGUUAAAAAGCACGUGAAAUUGUUGAAAGGGAAGCGCUUACAACCAGACUUUGGGGCGGUGUUCCGCCGGUCUUCUGACCGGUCUACUCUCCGUCCCGAGGCCAACAUCAUCUGGGACCGCCGGACAAGACCUCAGGAAUGUAGCUCCCCCUCGGGGGAGUGUUAUAGCCUGUGGUGAUGCGGCGCGUCCCGGGUGAGGUCCGCGCUUCGGCAAGGAUGUUGGCGUAAUGGUUGUCAGCGGC